rnacentral:rRNA from 1 species
CCUACGGGUGGCAGCAGUCGAGAAUUAUUCACAAUGGGGGAAACCCUGAUGGUGCGACGCCGCGUGGGGGAAUGAAGGUCUUCGGAUUGUAAACCCCUGUCAUGUGGGAGCAAAUUAAAAAGAUAGUACCACAAGAGGAAGAGACGGCUAACUCUGUGCCAGCAGCCGCGGUAAUACAGAGGUCUCAAGCGUUGUUCGGAAGCACUGGGCGUAAGGCGUGCGUAGGCUGUUUCGUAAGUCGUGUGUGAAAGGCGCGGGCUCAACCCGCGGACGGCACAUGAUACUGCGAGACUAGAGUAAUGGAGGGGAAACCGGAAUUCUCGGUGUAGCAGUGAAAUGCGUAGAUAUCGAGAGGAACACUCGUGGCGAAGGCGGGUUCCUGGACAUUAACUGACGCUGAGGCACGAAGGCCAGGGGAGCGAAAGGGAUUAGAUACCCCGGUAGUC